ACUACUGAUUCCCUAGUAGCGGCGAGCGAAGCGGGAAGAGCUCAAAUUUAUAAUCUGGCACCUUCGGUGUCCGAGUUGUAAUCUCUAGAAAUGUUUUCCGCGUUGGACCGCACACAAGUCUGUUGGAAUACAGCGGCAUAGUGGUGAGACCCCCGUAUAUGGUGCGGACGCCCAGCGCUUUGUGAUACAUUUUCGAAGAGUCGAGUUGUUUGGGAAUGCAGCUCAAAUUGGGUGGUAAAUUCCAUCUAAAGCUAAAUAUUGGCGAGAGACCGAUAGCGAACAAGUACCGUGAGGGAAAGAUGAAAAGCACUUUGGAAAGAGAGUUAACAGUACGUGAAAUUGUUGGAAGGGAAACGCUUGAAGUCAGACUUGCUUGCCGAGCAAUCGGUUUGCAGGCCAGCAUCAGUUUUCCGGGAUGGAUAAUGGUAGAGAGAAGGUAGCAGUUUCGGCUGUGUUAUAGCUCUCUGCUGGAUACAUCUUGGGGGACUGAGGAACGCAGUGUGCCUUUGGCGGGGGUUUCGACCUCUUCACACUUAGGAUGCUGGUGGAAUGGCUUUAAACGACCCGUCUGAACCUUUCACAAAAAA
rnacentral:rRNA from 1 species